GCCAGACUCCUACGGGAGGCAGCAGUGGGGAAUAUUGCACAAUGGGGGAAACCCUGAUGCAGCGCCGCCGCGUGGGCGAUGGAGUGCUUCGGCAUGUAAAGCCCUAUCAGCAGGGAAGAAAAUGACGGUACCUGACUAAGAAGCCCCGGCUAAAUACGUGCCAGCAGCCGCGGUAAUACGUAUGGGGCAAGCGUUAUCCGGAUUUACUGGGUGUAAAGGGAGCGUAGGCGGCCUGGCAAGCCUGAUGUGAAAUACCGGGGCCCAACCCCGGGGCUGCAUUGGGAACUACCGGGCUGGAGUGCCGGAGAGGUAGGCGGAAUUCCUAGUGUAGCGGUGAAAUGCGUAGAUAUUAGGAGGAACACCAGUGGCGAAGGCGGCCUACUGGACGGUGACUGACGCUGAGGCUCGAAAGCGUGGGGAGCAAACAGGAUUAGAUACCCCAGUA
rnacentral:rRNA from 1 species